GGCAACUUGGCCGAGCGGUCUAAGGCGCUAGACUCAAGAACCAACAGUUCUUCUGCACAACAAAGUGCGGUGUAUUCUAGUAUCGCAAGAUGCGUGAGUUCGAAUCUCACAGUUGUCA